GUCCUCGCAGAAGGAGGCUCGCUCCCUCAGCACAGAGCUCUUCAAACUCAAGAACGCCUAUGAGGAGUCCCUGGAACAUCUGGAGACCUUCAAGCGGGAGAACAAAAACCUGCAGGAGGAGAUCUCCGACUUGACUGAGCAGUUGGGUUCCAGCGGAAAGACUAUCCAUGAGCUGGAGAAGGUCCGAAAGCAGCUGGAGGCCGAGAAGAUGGAGCUGCAGUCAGCCCUGGAGGAGGCCGAGGCCUCCCUGGAGCACGAGGAGGGCAAGAUCCUCCGGGCCCAGCUGGAGUUCAACCAGAUCAAGGCAGAGAUCGAGCGGAAGCUGGCAGAGAAGGACGAGGAGAUGGAACAGGCCAAGCGCAACCACCUGCGGGUGGUGGACUCGCUGCAGACCUCCCUGGACGCAGAGACACGCAGCCGCAACGAGGCCCUGAGGGUGAAGAAGAAGAUGGAAGGAGACCUCAAUGAGAUGGAGAUCCAGCUCAGCCACGCCAACCGCAUGGCCGCCGAGGCCCAGAAGCAAGUCAAGAGCCUCCAGAGCUUGUUGAAGAUUCAGCUGGACGAUGCAGUCCGUGCCAACGACGACCUGAAGGAGAACAUCGCCAUCGUGGAGCGGCGCAACAACCUGCUGCAGGCUGAGCUGGAGGAGUUGCGUGCCGUGGUGGAGCAGACAGAGCGGUCCCGGAAGCUGGCGGAGCAGGAGCUGAUUGAGACUAGUGAGCGGGUGCAGCUGCUGCAUUCCCAGAACACCAGCCUCAUCAACCAGAAGAAGAAGAUGGAUGCUGACCUGUCCCAGCUCCAGACUGAAGUGGAGGAGGCAGUGCAGGAGUGCAGGAAUGCUGAGGAGAAGGCCAAGAAGGCCACAGGCCGCCAUGAUGGCAGAGGAGCUGAAGAAGGAGCAGGACACCAGCGCCCACCUGGAGCGCAUGAAGAAGAACAUGGAACAGACCAUUAAGGACCUGCAGCACCGGCUGGACGAAGCCGAGCAGAUCGCCCUCAAGGGCGGCAAGAAGCAGCUGCAGAAGCUGGAAGCGCGGGUGCGGGAGCUGGAGAAUGAGCUGGAGGCCGAGCAGAAGCGCAACGCAGAGUCGGUGAAGGGCAUGAGGAAGAGCGAGCGGCGCAUCAAGGAGCUCACCUACCAGACGGAGGAGGACAGGAAAAACCUGCUGCGGCUGCAGGACCUGGUAGACAAGCUGCAGCUAAAGGUCAAGGCCUACAAGCGCCAGGCCGAGGAGGCGGAGGAGCAAGCCAACACCAACCUGUCCAAGUUCCGCAAGGUGCAGCACGAGCUGGAUGAGGCAGAGGAGCGGGCGGACAUCGCCGAGUCCCAGGUCAACAAGCUGCGGGCCAAGAGCCGUGACAUUGGCACGAAGGGCUUGAAUGAGGAGUAGCUUUGCCACAUCUUGAUCUGCUCAGCCCUGGAGGUGCCAGCAAAGCCCCAUGCUGGAGCCUGUGUAACAGCUCCUUGGGAGGAAGCAGAAUAAAGCAAUUUUC
rnacentral:lncRNA from 1 species